rnacentral:ncRNA from 1 species
UAGUAGUCAAGUGCGUUUUCACUUAGCUGGAAAAGUCCAUAAUCUGAUUUGAGUGCUUUGUAUUGUAGAAACCUUGCUUGUUCUCGUACAAUUGAAUUAAGUUGAUCUAUAAAUCUAGCUGCCUUAACUGCGGAUGUCGAAACCAAUUCACUUGAGUGAGACAGAGGAGAGUGGAAUUUCGUGUGUAGGGGUGAAAUCCGUAGAUCUACGAAGGAACGCCAAAAGCGAAGGCAGCUCUCUGGGUCCCUACCGACGCUGGGGUGCGAAAGCAUGGGGAGCGAACAGGAUUAGAUACCCUGUUAGUCCAUGCCGUAAAUGAUGAGUGUUCGCCCUUGGUCUACGCGGAUGAGGGGCCCAGCUAACGCGUGAAACACUCUGCCUGGUAAGUACGGUCGCAAGACCGAAUAACGGUAACGGCUGUUUUAGAAAGCACCUCUUCCUUU